ACUCAUACCUGGCAGGGGAGAUACCAUGAUAUAAAAGUGGUUUUCCCAGAGUAAGUGUCAUCCAUUGCACUUUGGAUGUGCUGAUCCCUGUGAUUUCCCCAAAUGUGGGAAAAUCAACUACAUAAUUUGUGGUAGUGGGCGACUGUGUUUGUUGUUUUCCCUA
rnacentral:snRNA from 1 species